AACGAACGCUGGCGGCAUGCCUAACACAUGCAAGUCGAACGAGCCCUUCGGGUCUAGUGGCGCACGGGUGCGUAACGCGUGGGAACCUGCCCUUAGGUUCGGAAUAACUCCCCGAAAGGGGUGCUAAUACCGGAUAAUGUCUUCGGACCAAAGAUUUAUCGCCUUUGGAUGGGCCCGCGUUGGAUUAGCUAGUUGGUAGGGUAAAAGCCUACCAAGGCGACGAUCCAUAGCUGGUCUGAGAGGAUGAUCAGCCACACUGGGACUGAGACACGGCCCAGACUCCUACGGGAGGCAGCAGUGGGGAAUAUUGGACAAUGGGCGAAAGCCUGAUCCAGCAAUGCCGCGUGAGUGAUGAAGGCCUUAGGGUUGUAAAGCUCUUUUACCCGGGAUGAUAAUGACAGUACCGGGAGAAUAAGCUCCGACUAACUCCGUG
rnacentral:rRNA from 1 species